CCCUUAGAUGUCCGGGGCCGCACGCGCGCUACACUGAAGGAAUCAGCGUGGCUUUCUCCCUGACCCGAAAGGGUUGGGAAACCCGUUGAAUCUCCUUCGUGAUAGGGAUUGGGGCUUGAAAUUGUUCCCCAUGAACGAGGAAUUCCCAGUAAGCGCGAGUCAUAAGCUCGCGUUGAUUACGUCCCUGCCCUUUGUACACACCGCCCGUCGCUACUACCGAUUGAACGGUUUAGUGAGGGCCUCGGAUGGGUCUCGGCCCGCUCUUUACCGGGCGGCGCCGUUGGUCGAGAAGACGCUCGAACUUGAUCGUUUAGAGGAAGUAAAAGUCGUAACA
rnacentral:rRNA from 1 species